AUAUCAAUAAGCGGAGGAAAAGAAACCAACAGGGAUUGCCUCAGUAACGGCGAGUGAAGCGGCAACAGCUCAAAUUUGAAAUCUGGCUCUUUCAGGGUCCGAGUUGUAAUUUGUAGAAGAUGCUUUGGGUGUGGCUCCGGUCUAAGUUCCUUGGAACAGGACGUCAUAGAGGGUGAGAAUCCCGUACGUGACUGGGUGCCUUCGCUCGUGUAAAGCUCUUUCGACGAGUCGAGUUGUUUGGGAAUGCAGCUCAAAAUGGGUGGUAAAUUUCAUCUAAAGCUAAAUAUUGGCCAGAGACCGAUAGCGCACAAGUAGAGUGAUCGAAAGAUGAAAAGCACUUUGGAAAGAGAGUUAAACAGUAC
rnacentral:rRNA from 1 species